AGACGUCACAUUGCGGUCCCUAGAUGCAUUCUACACCAAAGGGGGAAAAAAUGAAUAAUUUAAUCGAACAGUGCCUGGUGUUGGAGGCAAUAAGCCUAUUGCACUCAAGGAAAUGUAGAGUAAUCGUCACAGGAAAAAAAAUAAUAUAAGAAGCAAAUUUACCGAGGAAGUCUGUGCUACGUAAAAAAGUUUUAGCAAAACGUGGUUGCUCCCAGUUAUUGAAAGGGCCGUAUAAGAUGCAAUAUUGUGUGGCUGAUGAAACUCAUUGCGCUCCCUCACAUUAAAUCUUGCUUUUGCAAAUAUCUUCUAGCCUUAAGAGCCUUAAAUAAUGGAAUGUCAUAAACACAGUAUACCAUACACUAAUUUGAUGACCAAAACAGUACCCAAUUGAGUGAGAAAAACAUUUCCACAAAACUCUGAGGGGCUGUGUAAUAAACAGUCAACUGUUGGCGUAGGAUGGUUUCACUCAAUACACCGAUUGUGCCCUUGGCAGCAGCGCAUCGCCUGUAACUCUGAAAUUACUGUGUACUCCAACAAAGGCAGCAUUUAUACCUCAUAUACCCUCCCGAUCGUUAAGCGGUUCACUUUUCCAAGAUGCCUGCAAGGAAAAUGAAAUGCAGCCCAAGGCUUGUGACUCUAUAUCACCUCAAGUGGCACCUAGGACUCAGGAAGAAGAAGUCUUUUAGUCUCUUAGCUAUUCAGUUUCAUCUUUACAGAGAAUCUUGUCGAUGAUCCCAAGAACUAAGAUGAAAUGUUUUCAAUUAAGUGGCGCACAAAAGCAAAAACUAUCAAAAAAGGAAGAGAAUACUUUGGAUUUAGUGUCCAAGACUCCAAAGCUCACUGAUUUCUUCAUACAAGUUCCAUAAAGUGAUAUACCGAUUCUGGAUCAAAACCGAUCUCUGUCAUCAGAAGCGGACACAGAUACCACUUUGAUCACUUCGAACUCAAGAUAUGAUGAUGUUGGAAUCACCGAGGUGUCACAAGCAGGUUCAUCUAGCAUGUCUUACUACUGAUCUUACUUUUCCUGUAAAUUUUCUUGAUACCUCUACUGCAAAUGUUGAUUCAAGUUGCUUUACAAGACAUUCUAGGGUUGAAAUAAUUGUUGAAAAUGAAAGUUUAGUGGACCAUGGUGAUGGUAUUGAAAUGAUUCAGCCUGAAAAGGAAUAGCAAAAGAUCCAGGGUUGUGGCUUGAUUUUUCUGAUGAUGAUGUGGCUUAUUGGACUGCUUAUGGACCCCGUGACUGUCAACACCACAAUGGGCUAUUUGACAAGUCUUACCAACAUUUCAAUAGUGGCAAACCUGCAAGAUACUGUUCACAAAAACAUUUCAUUUGGACAAAAACUAAUGGUGAGAAAUAGAAGAGAGAGUGGUUAUUGUAUUCACCAUCAACAGGAGCAGUUUACUGUUUUGUUUGUAAACUGUUUACUCCUAAAAUUUCUCACAUUUUGUUAUAAAAGAAGGGUUCAGUGAUUGGUGAAAUACUAUUGCAAUUGAUCAUCAUGAAAAAAAGCACUACUCACCAAGACUCUAUGAUAACAUACUUAACUUGCACUCACAGACAAGGUACAUGGUUGGGGCAGCAGUUGUAAAAACAAAUUCAGGAAGAGUGAAAUUACUAGGAACAUCUUGAGGAGUGUCAUAGCUGUUACUCAUACAUUAGCUGAACAUGACUUGGCUUUUUGAGGAACAGAAGAAGGAUCUGGAUCAUUGCAGAAUGGGGAUUUUUUAGAGCUGCUUGAGCUCAUUUGCCAGUAUGAUCCAUUUUAGCUGGUCACAUUUCAAAAUAUUAAAAUAUUGGCAAAGGAAAUCCUUCUUACCUGUCCAAAACCACCUAUGAGGAACUCAUUCAAUUAACGGCUGAAAAGGUCCAUGCGCUCAUUGUUGACAAAGUAAAAUCUUCUGGUUAUUUUUGUUUGUCAGCUGAUUCAACACCAGAUGUAUCACAUAUCAAUCAGUUAAUGUUGUACUUUGGUACUUAGAAGAUGGACAGCUUAUGAACGCUUUUUAACCUUUCUGGAAAUUAAAAGCCAUACCGGUGAGAAAAUGGCAAAUCAGGUAUUACAGUACUUACGUGAAGUUUCUAAGCUAAACUUUUCAAAAUGUAGAGGUCAUGACAACACUGCUAACAUGUCUGAGCAUUAUAAGGGGAUGCAGCAAAAUAUUUUAGAAACAAACAAGUUUUGCUAUAUAUGAGCCCUAUGCAGCCCAUUCAUUAAGUCUGGUAGACCAAAGUGCUGUUGACUGCUGUCAAGAGAAGGUUAAUUUCUUUUCUACAGUGCCGUUGUUCUAUACCUUUUUCAACCUCAACCAGUCGAUGGAAAAUUCUUAAGGGUUGUAUUGGAAAUGAAAGUAUGAAAGUGUCUUAAAAUCCCUCUGUGAUACCAGAUGGGAGGCACAUGCUAUGGCAACAGCAGCAAUUUUGAAAUUGGGGCACCAAAAUCUUUUAAGUUCUUAGGGCCUCUAAAGCUCUUAUCCUGGCCAUGGCAGCAGGUCAAUAUUUCAUGCAAUCUAUGUGGAUAAUGUAUGACUGCAUGGAAUGAAGAAAAUAUAAAAAUAGUACAGAUGAAGCACAAACUUAAAAUUAUUUCACAAUGACACGUCAGUGGGUUUAUGAUCAUAAUUUGUCCAUAAAUGUUAAAAACAAGUUUUUAUUUCUUCUAGUGAUGUCAACAAUUGAGAAUUAAUCAAGGAAAUUGAAUUUAAAGGUUUGGAGAUGUUGGUUGAUAGGAAAUUAUCAUUCAGUUCCCAUCUAAAUGAAAUUUGCAAAACUAGAUUUUAAGUGAUUACAUAUAUGUUUAUCAGCCUCAUAUGAAAAAUUGCAACAUGGCUACAAAUUAUGGUCACCAACUAUGAUAGAAGAGAAAGGCUGAAAAAUGAAAAUAUUUUCACUUACUCUAGGAUAAGUGAGGAAUUUCAUCAAUGUAUUCAAGGAAGCAAAUGACAGUUUAGUUUUCAAAAGUUUGGUUUGAAUAGAAACUCUAUGAAUGACAUGAAAGCUUAAAUGACCAUUGAAUAAGAUCUGAAGAAAAAUAGCAAUAUUGCCUGAGAGUAACAUAGCAGUAGAAUGUACUACCUGAUAAGAAAAGAGCAUGUAAUGGCAAAACAAAUUGCAAAGCAAAACUAGAUAUGCAUCUUGGAUAUUAUGGUUAUAGAAUUUGUUAGGCAUGCUUUCUACAUUGUCUCUGUCUAAAUACUAAUUUCUAUUCUAAAAUCUGUGUUUGCAUUUGUAGUGUUUCAGAAAAAUAUUACAAUUGUCUCUGUCUACAUUCUAAUUUCUAUUCUAAUAUCUAUUUAUGUUUGUAUUUGUACUCUUUCAGGAGAAUACUGUAAUUGUCAAUAUUAUGUUUUACUGUAAUAUAACUUUAGUCAGCGCAUGACUAGACUGAGUAUCAAUAAAGUAUCCUUAAAUCCAGUUAAAAGAAGAACUGAAAACUAUUGCACAUCAUCUGGUACACCACAUCAGUCAGCUACUGACUAUCAACUCAGUGAGAAUGUGCAUAAAAUGUAUUAUGCACAUUAAGAUGGGAGGCAUUCUUUUUUCUGAAACCCAAAUGUACAAGUCAGAUACAUUCAAACACAGUACUUAUUUCUUGUUCCUAAGUAACCAAAUCAUUUAUAAAGGGAAAUACUCAUUUUUUGUUUCCAUGAGUAAUGAAAACCUAGAAGGUAGUUAUAGUAUCCUGGGGAAGGGGACUGGUGUGCAAGAGUUUUCAUCCAACAAUAAUGCAAUCUGUUUUGGUCAAAAGUUUCUCUGAGACCUUCUGACCGGUGUUUUGUACAUUCAUUUUGAAAUGUUUGCAUUUUGUUUUGAAACCACAAUAAGACAACAUUAACAAGAAAUAUAACCUGUCUGCAAGGACAACUCUAAGUGUGGAAGUGAAUGAAUUAGGUUUGAUGUCUUAAUAUUUCAAAGAUAGUAUUGGGAAAAUAGUAAAAUUAAAUACAAGUACAAAUGAAAUUAAUUUAAUGAUCAUCUAUGUAAGAUUAAACUAUUAAUUAAACAGUAUGACUUUACUACAGGCCCCUUCAUUGCUGUUCUGUUUAGAAAGUAUAUCCUUUUUGUUUUUUUUUUAGCAUCAGUGACAUUGACAGUAUGGUGAGAUACAACUGGAAUAGGAAAUAGAGACAUAAAUAAAGAAACCUUUCAAGCAGGUGUAAAAUUAUUGGAGUACAAUAAAAGUGAAAUAAUCACAGACA